rnacentral:rRNA from 1 species
GACGUAGGGCGCGAGCGUUGUCCGGAUUUAUUGGGCGUAAAGAGCUCGUAGGCGGUUUGUUGCGUCGGCUGUGAAAUCCCGAGGCUCAACCCCGGGUCUGCAUUCGAUACGGGCAGGCUAGAGUUCGGUAGGGGAGAUCGGAAUUCCUGGUGUAGCGGUGAAAUGCGCAGAUAUCAGGAGGAACACCGGUGGCGAAGGCGGAUCUCUGGGCCGAUACUGACGCUGAGGAGCGAAAGCGUGGGGAGCGAACAGG